GCGAUCAUACCAGCACUAAUGCACCGGAUCCCAUCAGAACUCUGAAGUUAAGCGUGCUUGGGCGAGAGCAGUACUAAGAUCGGUGACCCCCUGGGAAGUCCUCGUGUUGCACUU
rnacentral:rRNA from 1 species